CCUACGGGGGGCUGCAGUGGGGAAUUUUGGACAAUGGGCGCAAGCCUGAUCCAGCCAUUCCGCGUGAGUGAAGAAGGCCUUCGGGUUGUAAAGCUCUUUCGCAAGGGAAGAAAACUUAUCCUCUAACAUAGGAUGAGGUUGACGGUACCUUGAUAAGAAGCACCGGCUAACUACGUGCCAGCAGCCGCGGUAAUACGUAGGGUGCGAGCGUUAAUCGGAAUUACUGGGCGUAAAGCGUGCGCAGGCGGUUUUGUAAGUCAGAUGUGAAAUCCCCGAGCUCAACUUGGGAACUGCGUUUGAAACUACAAGACUAGAAUAUGUCAGAGGGGGGUAGAAUUCCACGUGUAGCAGUGAAAUGCGUAGAUAUGUGGAGGAAUACCAAUGGCGAAGGCAGCCCCCUGGGAUAAUAUUGACGCUCAUGCACGAAAGCGUGGGGAGCAAACAGGAUUAGAUACCCGGGUAGUC
rnacentral:rRNA from 1 species